UUAGAUGCCCGGGGCCGCACGCGCGCUACACUGAAGGAAACAGCGUGUGCUCUCCUGGUCCGGCUGGAUCGGGUAACCCGCUGAACCUCCUUCGUGAUAGGGAUAGGGGAUUGUAACUAUUCCCCUUGAACGAGGAAUCCCUAGUAGGCGCGGAUCAACAAUCCGCGCCGACUACGUCCCUGCCCUUUGUGCACACCGCCCGUCGCUACUAUCGAUUGAAUGAAGGAGUGAGGUCUUCGGACUGGCGUUCCCGACGACUCCUGUCGGAGGGUGCGAUCGGAAAGAUGACCAAACUUG
rnacentral:rRNA from 1 species